GGGAAACCAGAGCUUUUCAGUAAAUUUAUGACUACUUAGUGAAAUUUAUAGUAAUUUAGUAAGAUUUUUAAGUUAUGAUUUCCUUUGGCUAUAGAAAGAGACAUAAGUACCAUUCUGUGGCAAUAUACUCUCAUUAGGCAAAAGGAAAGCAUCAAGCCAUGCCAAGAGAAACCUUAGUUUUAUUUUAAGUGGUGUGAAUCUCCAUCUUGAAAUGCAAGUACCACAUAAAGCUUAACCACUUUAUAAAUCUAGUUAGAAUACAAUAUUCCCCUCCAUAUUUGAAUUGUACCAGUUCAUUCCCUGAGCACUCGUUUUCUGAGUACUUAGUUAUAACCCUUGUAAACUGCCAACUUAAAUACAGACAAGGAAAGGCAAACAUUUUCUAUCCACCAUUCCUGCCCCUCAAAGCUGAAAUUCAUGGUCUUCUCCUAAGCAACGUGUCCCAAAUGUCUUUGGAAGAGUCUUGAGAAGAAGGGGAGUCAAGAGAGUUGCCCAAUCAGCAAAUAUGAAAUUUAUGCUUUACCUUAAAAUUUCAGAUAACUUUUGCAUGCUGUUCCUUCCACCUCCAAUGCCCUUCCCUAACUCUCAGCAUGGUUGCCUCUAUUUCAUGAAACCAAAUUGCUGUCCACAUUGAAAAGUCUUUGCUGUUCACUUUUGCUGAAGAAGUAUAUUGAACCAACUGAAUUCUAUCAUUGCAAAUUCCCUGUUUUCUUCAAAGCAUCUGUCAAAUUCACAAUUAUAUAUUUUCUCUCUCUCCAUUUAUUUCCUACCUUUCUUUCUUUUCUUCCUCCUUCCCUCCCUUCUCUUCUUUCCUUUCCACUGUAGUAGCAGGUCCAUGUCUCAUUUACUGUUUUAUCACUUGCACCCAGCAGACUGCUACUACUCAUCAGAUACUCAAAAAAUUGUUGAUUAAAUGAAGCCUGAAAUAAUUGUUUUAUAUUUGUAUAAUUAUUUUAUCCACCCAGAAAAAAAUAUGCAAGAAGAAGUUCAUAGUAUUUAUGCCCUGACUUUGUAACCCUUUUGGCACAUUGACAAAUACCCCAGUUUGAAGAAGAUUAAUUCAUAUAGAAGAUCAAUACUUAUUAGUGCUUGUUAUGUACCACAG
rnacentral:lncRNA from 1 species